rnacentral:rRNA from 2 species
CGGGAGGCAGCAGUAGGGAAUCUUCCACAAUGGACGAAAGUCUGAUGGAGCAACGCCGCGUGAGUGAUGAAGGUUUUCGGAUCGUAAAACUCUGUUGUUAAAGAAGAACAAGUGUUAGAGUAACUGUUAACACUUUGACGGUAUUUAACCAGAAAGCCACGGCUAACUACGUGCCAGCAGCCGCGGUAAUACGUAGGUGGCAAGCGUUGUCCGGAUUUAUUGGGCGUAAAGCGAGCGCAGGCGGUUUUGUAAGUCUGCUGUGAAAGCCCUCAGCUCAACUGAGGAAGUGCAGUGGAAACUACAAAACUUGAGUACAGAAGAGGAAAGUGGAACUCCAUGUGUAGCGGUGAAAUGCGUAGAUAUAUGGAAGAACACCAGUGGCGAAAGGCGGCUUUCUGGUCUGUUACUGACGCUGAGGCUCGAAAGCAUGGGUAGCGAACAGGAUUAGAUACCCUGGUAGUCCAUGCCGUAAACGAUGAAUACUAGGUGUUGGAGGGUUUCCGCCCUUCAGUGCCGCAGCUAACGCAUUAAGUAUUCCGCCUGGGGAGUACGACCGCAAGGUUGAAACUCAAAGGAAUUGACGGGGGCCCGCACAAGUGGUGGAGCAUGUGGUUUAAUUCGAUGCUACGCGAAGAACCUUACCAGCUCUUGACAUCUUCUGCCAACCCAAGAGAUUGGGCGUUCCCUUCGGGGACAGAAUGACAGGUGGUGCAUGGUUGUCGUCAGCUCGUGUCGUGAGAUGUUGGGUUAAGUCCCGCAACGAGCGCAACCCUUAUUAUUAGUUGCCAGCAUUUAGUUGGGCACUCUAGUGAGACUGCCGGUGAUAAACCGGAGGAAGGUGGGGACGACGUCAAAUCAUCAUGCCCCUUAUGAGCUGGGCUACACACGUGCUACAAUGGAUGGUACAACGAGUCGCGAAACCGCGAGGUCAAGCUAAUCUCUUAAAGCCAUUCUCAGUUCGGAUUGCAGGCUGCAACUCGCCUGCAUGAAGUUGGAAUCACUAGUAAUCGUGGAUCAGCAUGCCACGGUGAAUACGUUCCCGGGCCUUGUACA